rnacentral:sRNA from 1 species
UAUCUCUCCGUACGGGGAAGGAUGAGAAGCUUCGACUAAGGUUCGAUUCGAGCGCAGCGAGAAAGCGUUGCCGCAGGCAACGACCCGAAGGGUGAGGAG